GAUGAAGAACUUAGCGAAAUGCGAUAAGUAGUGUGAAUUGCAGAAUUCAGUGAAUCAUCGAAUCUUUGAACGCACAUUGCGCCCCUUGGUAUUCCGAGGGGCAUGCCUGUUCGAGCGUCAUUAUAACCCCUCAAGCUCAGCUUGGUGUUGGGGCCUGCUGCACUGGCAGCCCUUAAAAUCAGUGGCGGCGCCAUCUGGCUCUAAGCGUAGUAAUUCUUCUCGCUAUGGAGUCCUGGUGGAUGCUUGCCAUCAACCCCCAAUUUUUCUAUGGUUGACCUCGGAUCAGGUAGGGAUACCCGCUGAACUUAAGCAUAUCAAUAAGCGGAGGA
rnacentral:misc_RNA from 1 species